rfam:Myotis lucifugus cont2.46800, whole genome shotgun sequence.
UGUGCACCAGUGGGGUCCCUCGGCCUGGCCUGCAACAUCCCUCGAGCGGUCCUGGAUUGCGAGAGGGUGCAGGCCAGGCUGAGGGACCCCACUGGUGCACG